UACGAAGGGUGCAAGCGUUGUUCGGAAUUAUUGGGCGUAAAGCGAGCGCAGGCGGAUUUGUGUGUCAGGUGUGAAAUCUCGGGGCUCAACCCCGAAAGUGCGCCUGAAACUGCAUAUCUAGAAUACUGGAGGGGGAUGGGGAAUUUCUUGUGUAGGAGUAAAAAUCCGUUAGAGAUAAGAAAGGAACACCGGUGGCGAAGGCGCCAUCCUGGACAGUUAUUGACGCUGAGGCUCGAAAGCGUGGGGAGCAAACAGGG
rnacentral:rRNA from 1 species